rnacentral:rRNA from 1 species
GACGAAAGGGUUACCGGAUCGGGACGGUCUCGCGGCCUAUCAGCUUGUUGGGGAGGUAACGGCUCACCAAGGCUUCGACGGGUAGCUGGUCUGAGAGGAUGAUCAGCCACACUGGGACUGAGACACGGCCCAGACUCCUACGGGAGGCAGCAGUGGGGAAUCUUGCGCAAUGGGCGAAAGCCUGACGCAGCAACGCCGCGUGCGGGAUGAAGGCCUUCGGGUUGUAGACCGCUUUUAACAGGAACGAAAAUGACGGUACCUGUAGAAUAAGGUGCGGCCAACUACGUGCCAGCAGCCGCGGUGACACGUAGGCACCAAGCGUUGUCCGGAUUUAUUGGGCGUAAAGAGCUCGUAGGCGGUUCAGUAAGUCGGGUGUGAAAACUCUGGGCUUAACCCAGAGACGCCACUCGAUACUACUGUGACUAGAGUUCGGUAGGGGAGCGGGGAAUUCCUAGUGUAGCGGUGAAAUGCGCAGAUAUUAGGAGGAACACCGGUGGCGAAGGCGCCGCUCUGGGCCGAUACUGACGCUGAGGAGCGAAAGCGUGGGUAGCAAACAGGAUUAGAUACCCUGGUAGUCCACGCCGUAAACGGUGGGCACUAGGUGUGGGCUCCAACCAA